GAUCCUGGCUUAGGAUGAACGCUGGCGGCGUGCCUAACACAUGCAAGUCGAACGGGGUUUAUAAUAUGAAGUUUCGGACGGAAUAUUGUAAACCUAGUGGCGGACGGGUGAGUAACGCGUGGGCAACCUGCCCCAUACAGGGGGAUAACAGCCGGAAACGGCUGCUAAAACCGCAUGAAACUGCGCUGCCGCAUGGCGGUGCAGCCAAAUAUUUAUAGGUAUGGGAUGGGCCCGCGUCUGAUUAGCUAGUUGGUAAGGUAACGGCCUACCAAGGCGACGAUCAGUAGCCGGCUUGAGAGAGUGACCGGCCACAUUGGGACUGAGACACGGCCCAAACUCCUACGGGAGGCAGCAGUGGGGAAUAUUGCACAAUGGGGGAAACCCUGAUGCAAGCGACGCCGCGUGAGUGAAGAAGUAUUUCGGUAUGUAAAGCUCUAUCAGCAGGGAAGAUAAUGACGGUACCUGACUAAGAAGCCCCGGCUAACUACGUGCCAGCCGCGGC
rnacentral:rRNA from 1 species